GCCAGGCACGGUGGUGCCUGCCUGUAGUCCCAGCUACUCGGGAGGCUGAGGUGGGAGGAUCACUUGAGCCCAGGAGUUCUGGGCUGCAGUGCGCUGUGUUGAUCAGGUGUCCUCACUAAGUUCAGCAUCAAUGUGGUGACCUCCCGGGAGCAGGGGACCACCAGGUUGCCUAAGGAGGGGUGAACCGGCCCAGGUGGGAAACGGAGCAGGUCAAAACUCCCGUGCUGAUCAGUAGUGGUAUCGUACCUGUGAAUAGCCACUGCACUCCAGCCUGGGCAACAUAGCGAGACCGAAUCUCU
rnacentral:SRP_RNA from 1 species